GCAUGGGUUUGGAUUUAUGGCAGGUCCACCCCCCGGUUCUCUCAUAGUGCCCCAUGCCAUAGCAUACUGGCCUUGAACCACUGCCUGGCCUCUGCCUGUAGGAUGCAGGCACUGAAGCAGGUUACAUAGUG